rnacentral:rRNA from 1 species
UACGUAGGGUGCGAGCGUUGUCCGGAAUUAUUGGGCGUAAAGAGCUCGUAGGCGGUCUGUCGCGUCGAAUGUGAAAACCCGGGGCUCAACUCCGGGCUUGCAUUCGAUACGGGCAGGCUAGAGUUCGGUAGGGGAGUCUGGAAUUCCUGGUGUAGCGGUGAAAUGCGCAGAUAUCAGGAGGAACACCGGUGGCGAAGGCGGAUCUCUGGGCCUGAUCUGACGCUGAGGCGCGAAAGCUAGGGGAGCGAACAGG